UUGAUGAAGGCCCGGAUGCUACG
rnacentral:misc_RNA from 1 species